GAUGAACGCUGGCGGCGUGCCUAACACAUGCAAGUCGAACGAAGCAAUUAAGAGGAAGUUUUCGGAUGGAAUCUUGAUUGACUGAGUGGCGGACGGGUGAGUAACACGUGGGUAACCUGCCCAUAAGAGGGGGAUAACAUCCGGAAACGGUGCUAAUACCGCAUAGGUUUCUUGGUCGCAUGAUCGAGAAAGGAAAGACGGCCUUUGUGCUGUCGCUUAUGGAUGGACCCGNGGCGUAUUAGUUAGUUGGUGAGGUAAUGGCUC
rnacentral:rRNA from 1 species